UUCGCAAUGCCCGAAAGGGUGACGAAGCGACGCCGCGUGUGGGAAGAAGGCCUUCGGGUUGUAAACCACUGUCGGGAGUUAAGAAAUGCAAGAAUGUUAAUAGCGUUUUUGCUUGACUAAGGCUCCGGAGGAAGCCACGGCUAACUCUGUGCCAGCAGCCGCGGUAAUACAGAGGCGGCAAGCGUUGCUCGGAAUUAUUGGGCGUAAAGAGCACGUAGGCGGCUAUGUAAGUCGGUUGUGAAAGCCUUCCGCUCAACGGAAGAACAGCAUCCGAUACUACAUGGCUUGAGUGCGGGAGGGGAGAGUGGAACUUCUGGUGGAGCGGUGAAAUGCGUAGAUAUCAGAAGGAACGCCGGCGGCGAAAGCGGCUCUCUGGCCCAUAACUGACGCUGAGUGUGCGAAAGCUAGGGGAGCAAACGGGAUUAGAUACCCCGGUAGUCCUAGCCGUAAACGAUGGGCACUAAGUAGAGGGGUUUU
rnacentral:rRNA from 1 species